rnacentral:rRNA from 1 species
CAUCAGCUAGUUGGUAGGGUAACGGCCUACCAAGGCAGAGACGGGUAUGGGGCGUGAGAGCGCGGACCCCCACACUGGCACUGAGAUACGGGCCAGACUCCUACGGGAGGCAGCAGUAAGGGAUAUUGCGCAAUGGACGAAAGUCAGACGCAGCGACGCCGCGUGGGCGAUGAAGGCCUUCGGGUUGUAAAGCCCUUUUAUGGGGGAAGAGAAAAAGGACGGUACCCCAGGAAUAAGUCCCGGCUAACUACGUGCCAGCAGCCGCGGUAAAACGUAGGGGACAAGCGUUAUCCGGAUUCACUGGGCGUAAAGAGCGUUGAGGCGGUUCCGUAAGUUGGGCGUGAAAGCUCCGGGCUUAACUCGGAGAUGUCGUUCAAUACUGCGGGGCUUGAGGACAGCAGAGGAAGGUGGAAUUCCCGGUGUAGUGGUGAAAUGCGUAGAUAUCGGGAGGAACACCCGUGGCGAAGGCGGCCUUCUGGGCUGUUCCUGACGCUGAAGGCGAAAGCUAGGGGAGCGAACGGGAUUAGAUACCCCGGUAGUCCUAGCUGUAAACGAUGGAUGCUGGGUGUGGGGGGUGUAAAUUCCCUCUGUGCCGAAGCAAACGCGUUAAGCAUCCCGCCUGGGGACUACGGCCGCAAGGCUAAAACUCAAACGAAUUGACGGGGGCCCGCACAAGCAGCGGAGCGUGUGGUUUAAUUCGAUGCUACACGAAGAACCUUACCUGGGUUUGACAUGCACGUGGUAGGGAACCGAAAGGGGACCGACCUUCGGGAGCGUGCACAGGUGCUGCAUGGCUGUCGUCAGCUCGUGCCGUGAGGUGUCGGGUUAAGUCCCGUAACGAGCGCAACCCUUGCCCUUAGUUACAAGUGUCUAAGGGGACUGCCCGGGACAACUGGGAGGAAGGUGGGGAUGACGUCAAGUCAGCAUGGCCUUUAUAUCCAGGGCUACACACACGCUACAAUGGCCGGUACAAUAGGUUGCGAAGUCGUGAGGCGGAGCCAAUCCUCAAAGCCGGUCUCAGUUCGAAUUGCAGUCUGCAACUCGACUGCAUGAAGCUGGAGUUGCUAGUAAUCGCAGGUCAGCUAUACUGCGGUGAAUACGUUCCCGGGCCUUGUACA